rnacentral:rRNA from 1 species
UACGAAGGGGGCUAGCGUUGCUCGGAAUCACUGGGCGUAAAGCGUGCGCAGGCGGUGAUGUAAGACAGGUGUGAAAUCCCCGGGCUUAACCUGGGAACUGCAUUUGUGACUGCAUCGCUGGAGUGCGGCAGAGGGGGAUGGAAUUCCGCGUGUAGCAGUGAAAUGCGUAGAUAUGCGGAGGAACACCGAUGGCGAAGGCAAUCCCCUGGGCCUGCACUGACGCUCAUGCACGAAAGCGUGGGGAGCAAACAGG